rnacentral:misc_RNA from 1 species
GGGCUGGGCCUGUACGCGCCGCGCCCGCCGCCGCGCGCGCCGCACAGGUGGAACGCUCCAUUCCCAACGCUAGAGGAAGAAUUUAAUAUAAUGACUGCACCUACGGGACCUGACCACGUCGUACUUUUAGACGAUGAACGAUUCUUCCAAUCCAACGUGAUAACGUCUGAUGCGACCGCCAUGGACACGGGCGCGAGCGUUGGACAGGCGGUGGGCGUUGAAACGACUGAAGACAUCGCGCCCGACAAGCCGGCACCUGACUUGCGCUCGCCGUGACCACCCGCGUCCACGUCCGGCGAGCCCGAUGGUGCGGACGCGACUGUGCUCCGGUGGACUCCCGCGCCGUUGCCUCACUGGCGCCCAGUGACGCAUCGGACUGUUUGAAUUGCGUUCGAAAUUCAAAUGUUCAUUCUUUUCGUUUGACAAUAAUUUUCUACGUCCAGCGCUGGCUGAUUAUAAAUUUGAAAGUGGAACGAGGCUAGUGUAAAUAUGGCGUCGGCGAAGGUUGUAGUCGAAUUUUGAAAUCGCAUUCUAUCGGCUGUCGGUGUUCAGCGCGGUGACGUUGUAGCGACGUCCCGCGUGACGGAUACCACGGCCGAUGUGAGUUUUAUUUGUUCAUAGGUGAUGCGUGAAGCAAUACUCCAAUGAUAAAUAUGUAAAAAAUAUGAUGUUACGGAAAAUAAAAACAACAUAUUAUAUUCUAAUAUUUUUAUAGAAUAUAAAUCGAGUAUGAUAUGAUCAAGCCUUCCAGUAAUUUAGUGAAAUAAAAAAAAUAUUAAUGAUAAUUCAGCUUAUAAAUUAUUAUUUUGCUGACCUAUAAGGCAGUUAGAAGCGAUACGAAACCAUAUGCUUCCAAUACUAGCGUCAGAACAGGUUUCGAUUGACGAAAGUGUGAUAUUAUAAGUUGUUUUUUGUUUCGUUGUUGUGCGUUUUGUAUUGAAAAUAAAAUAAAUAGAAUAAGCGUAUAUAGUUUACAGAGAUUUUUUUAACUUAUUUAACGAAUAUAUAAGAAAGACGAGCCUUGCUUAUGAGAUUAGUUUAGUUGUAUAAUUAGAAGCCAAGUGCUGAUCAAUUUUAUUGUUGCGCUUUCGAUACGAAAUUUCAAUAAAACAUUUAAAUAAAUGGGUUAAAACUAGGUACGAAAGAAAGUUAUACGAGUAUAUUAUUAGAACUCAUCUUAUUUUACGGUUUAUAUUUAUACGUAACGGUUAAUAAUAAUUAAUUAGUUACAGCGAUGAUUGAUCAUUAAAAUUUGUAUAAAAGUUAAAGUGAUAAGGUCGCCUUAUGUUGUCAAUUAUGAAAGUUCGAAUCGAAAGGCAAUAAUAGUUGAAGUUUGUAGUUCGACAGUUGUCGAGAACAUUUUAUAGGUGCCUUUUAUAAAAAAAAAAACGUAUAUAACGACAUAGGAACUUUUAAAUUGUACUUUUUUUUUAUUAAUCCACCCACUUAUACCUACCGUGGACUCAUUCUUAACGUAUUUUGUAGCCAAAGAGUACCAAAGUAAUGACAGUAUACUUUUUGGUUCCAAAAUAUUAAAUUUUAUUUCUUUCAUUACACAUUAUUUAGCAAUCCGUGGCCAUACGUGAAAAGCUAGUCAUUAGAGUAACAAUGUAAAUUUAUUGUACUUAAAAAUAAAGAAUAUUUACAUUUAAUAUAACCCCUUACGUUUAUUAGUAAGGGUUGAAAAACUAAAUUUGUGGCCAAAUUACACUUAAUGAGAUCCAAAUAUAUAUACACGAUUUUUUAAUAGAUUUAGAAUUAUAAGUGUGGCAUGAUUAAGUUGAGUUUUGUAUUUUAAGUUACAAGUUUACGAUCGAAUGUACUUAAGUAAUAUAUUUGAUUGAUUCUUCUGCAAGAUAAAACAAAAUAAGACUAACUUGUACCAUCUGUAAGCUAUUUUGUUUUUGCAGAAGAAUAUUUAAAGCAUAAUAAAACAAAUCGACAUCAUUUCAAUGUUAUAUCGUAUGGUCUUUUGACGUUUUAAAUUUUUUUUCCUCAAUCUUUACGUGCCAUUGUUUUAGGUCAAAAAGCCAUUUGUUUAUUUAUUUCCGUUGCACUAUCGAUAAAAAAUAUGUAUGUAGGGAAUAGUAUAGGAAACGUAGCAAUAAAUGACAAGCAAUAAAUUAAAAAAAAGUAAUAUUAUAAUAAAUACAGCUUUAGUGAAGCUAGAGAUUGGUACUGAUCUAGAAUCCAGUUAUCGUAAAACUUGCGAUAUUUUUUUCUAUAGAUAAUAUGCCGAAGAACUGAGUUCUCGAUACACUAAAGCCGCGUUCCUAUAUUCAGAAAACGAUUUGUUUUGCUCACUAAAUUUCGAAUAUAACAUAUUCGUAUUUUUUAAAUUUCGAAUGCGAGAUGCUCGAAUUAUUUAAAUUUAGAACACUAAAUGUUCGAAAGUUUACGGUUAGCGAACAAAACGAAUCGUUUCUAAAUAUAGGAACCGGCAUAGUAAACUUUGAAGCGGUCUGGUACAAUACUUAGCUAUUUCACAGAAAAAAGUAAAUAUAGAUAUAUAAAUAUGCAAAUAUAGUACGACUAGGCGGACGGCGGAAAUUAGUCAAUUGCUAGCUAUAGACAUUAGAGGAUAUAGUACAGACAAAUUAAAUAGUAAACGACACUUAAGGCUUUUGAAUACAUUGGGACGACCGACACGAUUACGUCGUAUUAUAACCGACAAAUGGUGAUGAAUUUAAAAGCUAAUUGGUGCAGAAAAUUCUAGACUGUGAUUAAAUUGUUCAUUCUGGACGUGUCUUAUAUUGAAAUAGUUUUGUAUGAUUGGCGGUAAACGAUCGAGAACGGAGACGUUGUUGAAGACAUGUUGUAUGAAAUGCAUUUGUUAUGACAAACUUAGACAAGUUUAAACAUAAAGAUAUGUAAAAGGUUUUUUAUUGACAGCGUCAGUAGACUCAGUAGUGUUUUUUAUUAAUAGCUUUGCAAUAGAUGAUGUGCUUGCGACAGAAACGCGAUCUAACUGCCGCGAGCGAUUAUUCGGAGCGAUUAUCGCGCAUCUGUCGCGACAUAUUUUUGAUUUGACGUUCGUUUAGCACCAUUGUUACGAUAUGGAAUAAUAAUUGAAAGCCUAAACAUUAUGUGCCUUAGAUACAACAAUAUUGUAUAUUUAUGAUGCGUUCUAUACAACGUGCUAACUAGAAAUAAAUAAUUAUUGUUAUUUUUAAAUAAAAAGCCUCGUCCUUUAACUUCGUUGUUAGAAUUGUUUUACGCGAAGGCUUGUCUAUGGAUCUCCUAUUAUUAUUUUUUCGUCCCAAACAUGGCUAAUUUAAAAAAAAAUCUACCUAAAAAGGUAUUCGUCUUGUUUCUAUCCUUCCGUAUCCCGUCGGUAUCUACUCGUAUACUUCCAAAUUGAUCCGAACCGGGUAUUCGGGACCGGAUAUCCGGUUUAUUGAUUUCGAUUUUCGAAACCAGAUUAUAACUUUUAAUCCUCAUCUAAUAAUUAUUGUACGAUUAAGUAAAGCUUCUACGCGUAGUUUCGCUGGUAUAUAAAAUACUUCUAAUAUAUUACAUAUAAUUUUAGUACUUACAUACAUUAUACCUACUUACGUACCAUUAUGUAAUUUACUGUCAUGUAUAUCUUACUCUACGCGAAGCUUAGGCUCGCUGUUGAUUUGUGAGAAAGUAGCUGAACCUUCAAUUCUGGCGUCGCUUCUUAUCGUUAAUAAUCGACCGCAUUAUGUCAUUUUGUAAUUUAUUUUCAUCCUAAUUAUAUUUAUAUAUAAAUGUAUGAUGUAACUAAAAUCCGUCUUAACUAAGUUUCUUUGGAUUACUUAAUUGAAAUAACAUACGGAACUAAAUUGUAAUUGUAAAGAUAAAUUAUUAAUCAAUAGAAAAUUUAACUCAUAGUUACGAUUUAUUUAGUUCGUCGGAAGCGAUUUUCGAUUUUUUUUUAUUAAAUUAAUUUAGCGAAUUUAUUAAUUAAUUUUUUAGUAACGAUUGUGUCCAUGACCAUGAUUGUCUGUAAAUAUCUUCCGAAGUGUAAUUUAUAUAAUUUUUCUAUUUGUACAAUUAAGCUGUAGUGAACAAUUAAGAGUUACAAUGUCCUCGAAUUAUUUUACAAUUUUUGUCUAGUUUUUUUUAUGUUUUUUUUUGUUUUUGUUUAAAAUGUCAUGUAAAUCAAAUGACACGGCGCUUGUCAGACUGUGAAUUGUAUAAAAAAAACUAAAACCUAAUUAGUAAACGCGUCAUUCGAUUUACAAACUAAUUUUAAAUAAAGGGAUAGACUUGUAAAAAUGUUAUAACGUGUAUUUUUAACCUAUAUAUAGUAAGAUAUUUAUAGAAUUUUAGUCGUUUAAUUAUUUCGAACGACUUGUUAUAAAGAAAAUUGGUGCUUAAAGCUUAAACAAAAUAAGUACGGUACUCGUGUGCCGGUGUGUAUUGUCGACGGUUUGGAGCAUUUGACAUAGCAUGCGUUGUUAUGCUCGAGUUUGGCGCGAAAUCAUUUGUACAUUAAAAAUAAAAUUAUUAUAAAAUUAUAAAAUAAUCGUAUCCAUUUUAAACUGUUACCGAACACGCACAAAAAUAACACAAAUCAUUAAUAUUAUUUAAAUAUUAUUAAUCAAAUAUUAUUUGAUAAUUUUCCCGCGUACAAAUCUGACGUACAAGAAAUAUUUUAUAGACGAUUUUGUAUAUUUAUUUAGUUGUUUUAAUGUAACGAUUGUUUUGUUUUAUUUUAAUGACGAGUGAUUCUGCGUUGAAUUGUGAGCAAUUAUAAUAAUGUAGGUAAACUUUGCUCAAUAACGAUGAAAACUGAAAGUGUUACAGUUGAUGCAAUACAAUGAAACAAACAUAUUUGAGUUUUAUUUUAAUCACCUUAUUUUGUUGUUUUAGUUGAAUAUUGCUUGAUUUUAAAUCCUAUGAUCUAUAUAAAUAAUGAAUCGUUGUGUUGCUAAGCGCAAUACUCGAGAUCGCCUGAACGAAUUUCGAU